rnacentral:lncRNA from 1 species
CACAUGGAAACAAUAAAUAAAAGGAGUUGUACUGUUACCUCCCCAGAGCCUAUGGACCUCUCUCCGGGGAAUGGUUUGCCGGGUAACAGGUUGUUAUCCUGAUUUUGGAGACCCAGUUGGACAAGAAGAGUUUAACAUACAGCUGUAUCUUAGGCAAGCAAUGGACUGUUGUUGUUGUUGUUAAAACUUUUAGUAACAUGGUAUCACUCAUCUUCUCCAUUGUGGAGAUUCUCUUCUGUACUUUUUAAACUUGAAGAGGAAACCAAACCUGAUCAUCUGGUCAGAUGAACACACUCAAGCCUAUGAAGUCUACCUCCAGCACAACCAAGCCUGAUACCUCACACACAAGCAAAAAUGAGAGAAAGAAGACCAGGAGUCUCCAGAGGCUUUACAGAAAGUACUUGCAUUGUUUUCUAUAUUUUCAAACAAAUACUGUAUCCAACCAAAGCUGUGAAAGAAAUGGUCUCUUUGGUCAUGUGGCCCAGUCCCUUUUCCUUGGAUUUUAUUCUGAUUAGUCAGCUCAGACCCAUAUAUGAAGUUUGAAAAAAUGUGAAAUUCUGUUACUUUUUUACAUUAGUUCAGUCUUAUUAAAAGCACUAAGCAUUUCAGCAUAUUCAUAGACACAGUCAUUAAGAGACACAGUCAUUAAGAUCUGAACAAGAAAGUAUUUAUGUGGACAUGAAAUGCCCCGACAGAUCCUGGGGCAUUCCUUCACCACUCACUCGGGCAGCUUCUGCUGGCACCCCUACAGCUCUGCAGUGAUCUCAGUGGGCUGACUCAUCGCCAGCUAACAGGCUAUACUGCUAAUCUAGCAUUUCUCAGUACACUAGCAUGUCUUCUUGGGAAUUACGCUUUUUCUUAAACUUUCAAGUUUCAAACCUUCUAAAAUUAUUUUACCUCUAGACAACAGAAUGCUAUUUUUGUCAGUUUAAGCUAACAGUGGCCAUAUUGUAACCAUUUAAAUGAACAAAAUGGCUAAAAGAUCAUCCUUAUAGGUAUUUAUCACUUUAUUGCUUUUGUGAGACAUUGACUGAAAAAAAAAAAGUUGAACUUGUUGAACUUGGAGCGCGUGACUUCAGGCAUGGAUGAAUCCACACAGUAAGACCUCACAGAAGCUGGCUCAUCCUAGACGAACUCCACUCUAGUCUGAGUUGCCACUGUACUUGUUUUGGAACUAAGAGACAGCUGUGAACAGAACAUAGUCAAAAUUUCAAAUGUGUGGACCCUUUAUAUUUCACUUCUAAACAAAAAUUCAAUUCCCUCUGUCAAAAGAAAAAUAUUCCAUUGUUUAAGCAUUGGUCCUAAGUAAAGAUCUUUGUUGAAUUCCUUCCAGGUAGAUGAAUCAAUGUAAGUGAAACAUGGUUUUACACACCUGUAACCUCAGCGUUGGGGAUCUGAGCUAAGAGGAUUGCAAGUUCAAGGCUAGCCUGGGCUACAUAGCAACAGCUUGUCCUAGGAACCUAGUUAUUUGAGCAUUAUAUGCAGCUUGAGUAUUUUUAUGUUCCUGUCACAUUUCUGUCUGGACUAGAAAUGGAUUCGCUCACUUCAAACCAAGCAACAAGCUCUCUCACGUGUGCCCUCCAUUUCUAGAUAUAUAGUCAAGUUGACAACCAAGAAUAGCCAUCACAGGCAA